CUCAGACAAAAUUUUGCCUGCACGGAGAGGAGCGGAGAUUUGGCCGGAUGUUCGUUCAUGUUGCGAAGGAGGUCAGAGAGACCUGCAGUCUGCCCCCAAUCCAGCCCCAGUGUGACCCUUCUCCUGCGCUCUCUGUUGCAACGCCUGGACCUGUUGGUGCGAGAUUGGCAGCUCUCCGAAGCCUACGGCGCAGAAGAGGGACAGGAGUAUCUCAAAGACAUCACACAGGACCUGGCAGCCUCUUCUGAGUAGCCCCUGGUGUUGGGAGCCCUGAGGGCGAGAGGGACCCGGUGCUAUCUACUGCUCCACCCUGGCACUAGGUUCACCAAGAGCAGGGCAGGGACGCCAGGCGACAUGGACGAGGAUUUCCGGCAGUGCCUGUGUGACUACAUCAGCACCGUGGUGCACUCAGCAGGGACACACGUCCGGAUGGACUGAGCCGGGCUGGUGCUGACGGGGGCUCAGCUGGCUGCCAGGAUCAAGGACGUCUCCCGAUACUUGAAGACCCAACGCUACGACUUCUCCUCCCCUCUGAAGAUGGCUGAAGCAUUUGCAGCGAUGAGAAAGGAGAAAAACAGCAAAGCAGUAGAAGCCGCCAGGAGAGAAUAUGAACAAUUUGUGCAG